UGGACUUCAGCAAUACCAGGCGCAGAAGC
rnacentral:sRNA from 1 species